AGAAGAGAAAACAAGCAAAAAAACAACAACAAAAAAAAACAGAGCAACAUACUAAACACAACACCAUCAUGUUAAUCUAGCUAAGUGUAAACAGCAGUAAAUACUAAAUACUGAAUGUUGUUGUGUAGCAAGCAGGAACGACAGCGCACAAUGUGCUUGGAAAUAGCAGCCAAUAAAGGUGUAGUUUAUGUCUAUGAACAGUGAAUACCCGUGUGCACACCUGUGUGGAUCAGCGCGCUUGUAUUCAAAAAGUUUCCCCAUGUAAUGGUCUGCUAGAGGAUGCAGAGAGCCAUAGCCCUGUCCCCCAGGGCAUGAAGCAGGCAUGGAGGAGAUCCAGGCUCCAGACAUCCAGAGGCCCCAGAGUGCGAGAGCCCAAGGAGGACCACCGGAGGGGCAUCCGUGCCACCCUCCUGGGAAGAGCUGAGGAGAGCCCCAGAUGAGGGGUCACCCAGUAGCCACGGAGCAGAAGCCAGAGGGGGCUGCAGUGGCGUGCCCGCCGGCUCUCCCAGCAGCCAGCUGUGCCAGAGUGAACCGAGCCGCAGGCCCAGAGGCCGGAGGCCCGAGGGCCCCCUUUGCCCCAGAAGAGGCCUGAGCGAGCAACAGGGCCCAGGCCCCGCCAAGUAGUCACUGGGAGUGAGCUGGUACAUACCUGAGCGCCCAGCCCCGGACACCAAGAACCACCAACCCACCGGCCCCUGAGGGCAUCAGUUACCGGCAGGGAGUGUGGUGAGGGGAGAUAGGCCUUUGGAGGGCCUGGGAGUUCCCAGAUGGGUGGAGUGUAAGACCCGACCUGACAUAUAAACAUGGACAAACAGGCACACACAGACACAAACAUGCAUUCCCACCCUCAUGCACACAUAUACAAAUACUCAGCACUCACCCAACGUAGGGAUAGACAUACAUGGACACCGUACAUACAAUCACACUCCCCAAACAAACUCUAUACCCCAGGUCCAGGUACCCUUGCACCUGGAGGGGGAAACAGCACCUAGACCCAGGAGAUCUUACCCUUUCCCCCGGGGUGGAGGCAAGCAGACCGCCCCAGGCUCCGCAGCAGCAGGGAGGCCCCGCAUCCCAGAUCCUGAUCGAAGCCGGAGAUGGAGGCGCUGCAGGCGUCGGCGUGGAAGCCGGAGACGGAGGCGCUGCAGGCGUCGGCGUGGAAGCCGGAGACGGAGGCGCUGCAGGCGUCGGCGUGGAAGCCGGAGACGGAGGCGCUGCAGGCGGCGGCGUGAAAGCCGCAGGUGGUGGCACUGCAGGCUGGACAGAUCCCUUGGACCCUCCAGCGACGACAGAAGACGAAGGCCGGACGGGCCCCUUGGACCCUCCAGCGGAGACAGGAGACGAAGGCCGGAGCGGUCCCUCAGACCCUCCAGCGGAAACAGGAGACAAAGGCUGGAGCGGUCCCACGGACCCUCCAGUGGAGACACGAGACGAAGGCCGGAGCGGUCCCUUGGACCCUCCAGCGGAGACAGGAGACGAAGGCCGGACAGGCCCUUUGGGCCCUCCAGCAGAGGCUAUCACAAAGCCAGCAGGCACAGAGUCCUCUGGCAGACACAAAGGCAAUGGGUGCUGUGCUGAGCACUGGCUCUGGCCAGACAGCGCUGACACGGAGUAGUUCUCUGAGGGCUGCUUAAUCUUCAGGGGUCCAGAAACAGCUGGGGACUGAAACCUAGCUUCUGGGGAGGCCCUGGAGUGCAUAACUGUGCCCAAAGCAACUAAAGCGCGAGAAACUCCAUGGGUGGCAAUCAGAUUUUCUCCCUAGAUGGAGUGAAUGAGUGAAACUGGUAACACUGGAGCCUGGGCUACGGGUAGCGGGGACACUGGAGCCUGGGCUACGGGUAGCGGGGACACUGGAGCCUGGGCUACGGUUGACAGUGGAGGCACUGGAGCCUGAGCUACGGGUGACAGUGGAGGCACUGGAGCCUGAGCUACGGGUGACAGUGGAGGCACUGGAGACUGAACUGAGGGUGGCUGCUGGGCAGCUAACUGAGCUGAACGUGGCUGCUGGGCAGCUAACUGAGCUGAAGGUGGCUGCAGCGGAUAAGCAGUGCUUAUUGCUGUCUGCUGCACAAAACACAGCCCCUGAAUAAAUAGUCCCACAGUUCGAAAAAGAAAAAGAGUCUUCACUCACCACAGCCAGCAAUGCUGAAGUCCCCACGUCCGGCUGUGGAGUGACGCGCCGGAACAGAGAAGAGCCGCUGUAGGCGUGUUUCCACAGCACAACGAAGCUCCUCCGGGGGGUGUUCCAGCCACAGGCUCAGAGGAUUCUCCACAGUGAAAAUAAUGUCAUCCCUUAGCUCCUCAGAUGGAUUGCAAACUGCUGGGUCCAUGCUGGCUGGCUCGUACUGUCACGUCUGGCGUGGCAGACAUGUGGACUAGUAGAUAAGGACCCAAGAAGCAGCUUGUGACGAGAGUGAGCUUUAUUUAGCCAGGAGGAAGACAAACAAACAAAUGGCGAGGCGAGAAUAACUUAAACUGGAACAACUAACAAAACAAAC
ensembl:lncRNA